ACAUACAUAGCUAAGCAGAUUGUUAGAUUCUUCCACUUCACCUGACACAUCAGUGUUCCUUCUUCCUGUCACAAUCUCCAGGACUAAAAUUCCGAAGCUAUAGACAUCUAACUUAACAGAUACAUGUCCAAGAACUGCAUACUCUGGCGCCAUAUAUCCUCUGCAUGCAUGCAUUCCAGAUUAUGAAGAGCAGCAUGUAAGUAAGGAAAGAAUUUGUCGGAGUCUCAUCAUUUUCUUACAGCGUCCCAACGACAUGGUUUGUGAUACUAGCAGUUUUAGUACCAUCAAAUAGCCUCGCCAAGCCAAAGUCGGAGAUCUUUGGGUUCAUGUUGGCAUCUAACAAUACAUUGCUGGCCUUGAGGUCACGAUGAAUGAUCUUUAUCUGAGAAUCCUCGUGGAGGUAGAGCAGGCCGCGUGCUAUCCCAUGUAUGAUCUGAUAUCUUGUUUCCCAGUUUAAUUGUCCUCGCUUCUCUGGAUCUACCAAAUACAAAA
rnacentral:sRNA from 1 species